GAGUCCCUGCAGGGUUCGUGAUGCUCGAUCAAGCACUUGAACCGUACUUUCUUAUCCGGGUAGCUCGCGUCUCGGGUCCCGUGCACGCCUUCCUUCCGCCGGAAGCGGAAGCUCAGAAGGUAGCCAACAUGGCACGAGUAGGGCGCCCACCUGUCCUGUACAGGUUCAGGUAAGAAUCACCACACGGCUCAGGCGGGGUACUC
rnacentral:other from 1 species